rnacentral:ncRNA from 1 species
UGACGCACUGUGGGAGAACCUCCGCUUCGGAGGCGCCGUAGGAGCAACUCCUCCCCGGGAAUCUCUCAGGCCCAAUACCGCAGUGUCGAG